UGAGUGGUUAGCGUGCAAGACUCACAACUAGGAGACCCGAGUUCAAUACCUCCCUCCGCCUGUGUGGAGUUUACAUGUUCUCCCCGUGCAUGCAUAGACAGACAAACUCCUAUUUAGUGUGGAAGUGGCAACAUCUGGACCGGCCCGAGUCCAAGCAAGUCAAGGUCGAGGUCUGCACUCUCACAAGCUGCGCAGUCCAAGACAAAAAGACAAAAAGUCGCCCACUACUUCCUGGAAGAUGGCAUUGUAAAACAGCAGGCUGCCAACUAUCUGUCAGUCAGCAACAGACGUGGGAGAUAAGACAGAGACCCAGUGACGGAAAAGAACGAGUCCAGUCGUCCCUGCGUGCUCCCCUGGCGACUCUUCACGAUCUUCUUACACCCGUUUCGGAUCCUGUCCUCGCUGCAAGGACGUGCAAUCAAAUCAUCAGAAAAGGACCUGCAUUGUU